rnacentral:rRNA from 1 species
ACGGAAGGCAGCAGUGAGGAAUAUUGGUCAAUGGACGCAAGUCUGAACCAGCCAUGCCGCGUGCGGGAAUAAGGCCCUAUGGGUCGUAAACUGCUUUUGUGGUGGAGCAAUAAGUCGUACGUGUACGGCGAUGAGAGUACAUCACGAAUAAGCAUCGGCUAACUCCGUGCCAGCAGCCGCGGUAAUACGGAGGAUGCAAGCGUUAUCCGGAUUUAUUGGGUUUAAAGGGUGCGUAGGCUGUGGUCCAAGUCAGGGGUGAAAGCCCGGAGCUCAACUCCGGAACUGCCUUUGAUACUGGAUUGCUGGAAUACGGAUGCCGUGGGAGGAAUGAGUAGUGUAGCGGUGAAAUGCAUAGAUAUUACUCAGAACACCGAUUGCGAAGGCAUCUCACGAAUCCGUCAUUGACGCUGAGGCACGAAAGCGUGGGGAUCAAACAGGAUUAGAUACCCUGGUA